GUUUAUUGUCGAAAAUCAGAGUGAUUAAAUGUGUAUCUGUGUUAUUCCGUGACAGGUGUCAAUUUCUCCGCUGCGUAGUGUUUUUAUAAUCAUUCGUUUACUGGUAACUUCGUUUAAUUAAUAUCAUUGCUUCAUUGCGAGGGAAACUUUGAAGCAUUAGAGGGAUACACGAAAUACAAAAGAACACUGCGAUGAUCGACAAUGAGUCCGAAAACUUUUCAUGCAGAUUUGAUCCUCGAUUUGGUGGUUCGCUUCGACUUUUGGAAUAGUAGCUGAUUACCGACUAUCGACGAGCGUGUGUCGCCCGUAUGCAACGUAUUGCGAACCGAAAAGCUGACGGCGGAUCCUCCAAAGGCUGGUUCGUUUCGCUUUGUUGCGGUAAAGGCUUGACAAAUAGGGAAUCUAGGCUUGGAGGCUAUCGAGUGCCGUAAUUACUCGACGCAACUCGUACUCGCCUAUGCGUAGAGAUGAUAAGAAGGGUGAUACGAAGCAACAAAAACGAGGAAACGAUUUCUCGUCUUUCCAAUUCUUUGGACGAAGCGUAAAUUCAAUUCGAGAAGGAACACGUAUGAAAACAGCGUUAACGAGUUCGACGAAACGUACCGCGUUGUUCUUGUCUCGCUUGACCGCCUCUGUGCGUAUACGGAACUUUUGAAAUGGCGAAACGAGCGGACCUCGCCGCGCGGCGCAUAGAGUUUCAUCUCGGGAGAUUACACGAAUCGUGAUCAAAGUAAACCGAUGAAGAAACGAAGCUUGCUAACGACGAGAGGAUCAGGGCGAGGAAAAGUGAAGCGAACGGAUAGGGGAAGAAAAUAGAAGAAUGAGAGAGAAACGGCCGAGAUGGGUGGCAAUGGGAGAAGGAG